CGCCUCGUGAGCGUGACGCGUGUCUGGUUUGCUGGCAGAAAAAGAAACGAGACAUGUGGGUGGGUCCCAUUGCCUUUUUCUCUUGAGCCUUAUCUUCUUCUUGGCUCGUCUUCUCCGUUGCUCCUCCGCACAGAAGCCUUAUUUUCCCUCCACUCCAUGGAAUUCCCCAGUCCAUCGCUCCUCCAUGUCCCUGUUUCCCUCUACCUCCGCCUCCACUACCUUCUCCGAUGCCGACGAGCCUCCGUCGCUCCUCUCUUGCCUCAGCGCCGCGACGCCGUCACCCCACUGCGCCCAUCUUGCAUCUUGCUAUCUCCAAUAAUCCCGAGCACGUUGAUGAGAUGACGACUGCCGGGUGGCAGCCGACGCCGCUGCGAGCCGUGAGCGGCGGCACCGCGCAACCGGUGCAGGUGCUGCUGCAGAUCGAUGGGCACCGGGACCAGGCCGCCAACUCCAUGAGUUGCUGCAAGUGCUCGGCGUGGAAGCCGACUUUGCUACGAGCGGCGUCCGCGGUUGCUUCGAGCGGGUAUCCGGCGGUGCUGCGAAAACAAGCCGGUGUUACUCCGAGCAGAGUCAGGAGUUGCUCUGCCAGCAGGCCAGCGUUGCUCCGAGCAAAGUCCGGCGUUGCUCCGAGCAGAGGCCGGCGCUGCUACAAAGGGCAGCCAACCUUGCUACAAAGGCCGGCUGACCUUGCUACCAUGGCGCGACGGCGUUGCUGAAAGCGGGGGGGAGGUGAUGCUACUGGAGGGAGACCGUCCUUGCUACCAGGUGCGACCAACCUUGCUACCAUGGCGCAGCGGCGCUGCUACAAACGACGGCUGGUUUUUCUACAAGGGGCGGCCGACGUCGCUACCUUGGCGUGGCGGCGUUGCUACCCAUGGUGAGGCAUCGUUGCUGCAAACAAAGGCGUUGCUAUCGGAGGGGUGCGGUGGUGCUACAGGUGCCAACAACAUUGAUGCUUGGGUGGACGGUGCGGUGAAGCUACUUCACCGGCGACGUCGUGUCAGGUUUCUCCGACGAAGAAGAUGUUGCAAUAGUUCUCCGGUGGCGCCCUCGGCGGGGUUUUCCAGCGACGCCCGCAACAAGUUCUCCGGCAGCGCCGUCAGUGGAGCUCUCCGGCGGCGCCCUUGGCGGGAUUUUCCGGCGACGCCCGCGACAAGUUCUCUGGCAGCGCCCUCGGUGGGGCUCUCCGGCGGCGCCCUUGGCGAGGUUUUCCGGCGACGCCCGCGACAAGUUCUCCGGCAGCGCUCUCCGGCGGCGCCCUUGGCGAGGUUUUCCGGCGACGCCCACGACAAGUUCUCCGGUGGCGCUCUCGGUGGGGCUCACGGGAGGAGCAGGGACGGGGAAGAGAGGCGCUACGCGGCAACGCCAUGUGCGAGAGUUCCGGGAGGAUGGCGCAGCUAGAUCGUGGGUGUCUGUUUUCCUUCUCUUUUUUGUUGGUGCGUUGACCCUAGAUGCACGGCUUGGAUCAGCCCCAUCCAACGGCUGGGGACCCGGGGGAUCGGGGGAUUUGAUCCCCCGGGGGACGCUCAGCACUAUCC